CAGCUCUGUCUCUACUCAUUUGAUAUUGGAAAUAUUGUGUCGAUGAUCACAAAUGAGUUUAGUCAUGGGCAUGGAUACGUUCAUGUGCACAACACUGUAUUAACACUUUUUUUUCUGCUGAAAAACACUUGCUUAAGAAAAUAUACAUACAAUGGCACUUUUCAACUUCCGUUGCUUUCCUUUAAUUGUUUCAGUUAAGAAUUUUCCAAUAAAUCCAAUUCCGCUUUAUUGGAAGGCAUACUCUUAUAUUUCCUUAUGCCGGGGUUUGCUUAACAUCGGUUUUAGGUUGGAGCUUAUUGAGCAACCAAUAACCAUGCUUGGAAAUAGUGAUGAACUUCAGGAUCUUACCUUAUUUGCUGGCUCUAGGGAUGGCAGUUUUCAUUCAGUCUCAUAUUUCGAUUGCAGCUGUAAGGGAGACGAUUGUUGCACAAUCAGGAUAAGAUCUCUCCAAUGAGUUAUGUGGUCUCUACAGCAUCAAAUAUGAAGGGUGGCGGCUCGAUUAUUUUCUCGUUUCAGAAUCUAUAGCAGACAAAGUUCAUGACUCAUACAUCCUUCCUGAUAUCACCGGUAGUGAUCAUAGUCCUAUUGGCCUGAUUCUCAAGCUUUAGUUCUGUCAUCUCUUUGGGGAUCUUGGUGAAUGGAUUCUGCGAAGGUAGUCCGGCAGCAUCAUCCUAGAUGUUGUUUGCUGAAAAGUAUUGAGCUUUUAUUGUCAUUGUCAUUCAUGUUGAAGCCACUAGCAAGGGAAAGUUUUUUUGAUGAAAUUUGCUUAGCAAAGGGGGGAAAGAAAAGAAGGACGAGACGAGGGGGCUGACUGUAUUUACUUUGUCUGGGCCCUGUGGAGUGAUCUGGGUUUUUCUAGGUUAUUUUACAAGGUAUCUUUUGGAGGAAGAGUUAUGAUGGAACAUUGAAAUCACUUUCUAAAAAAUCUGUGCAAGUUUUUGAACAUACAUUCUGAUGCUGAAGUCGGUAGCGGAAAAAUGCUGAAAUGCUGAGUGCAAAUUGUAGGUACAACCGCUCUGGUUCGCAAUUCAAUCUGAUUAUCUGGUGGAUUUUUUUUUUUUUUUAAAAGGAAGCCUGGAAAGACAGUUGUCUACAACCGUCUGCUGCUCAGUCUUUUAAGGACUAAGGCUGGGUGUACAAUGACUUAUCAUGCUUGCGUCUUGUUUUUAGGGAACCUCAAAGGAGCACAUAUCCGCAAUGUCAUUUUUGGCUCUUGAAUUUUGUACAUGAACGUGGUAGACCUGAAGAUGAUGAUGUUCCCAUAAUUAGGUGCGAAAAUGUUGGCAAUGUUUUAGACAAAUGUAAUUAGCGAGUUUCAUUUAUUUAUGGAAAUC